UUUCUGGCAGACAGAGACAAGUGACGAGAACAGAGGCCAGAAAGCACCCAGGUUCAUUUCAGCAGCUUUUGUAUUUUUAUCUAAAUAAGGAAUUGUCCAGCUGCACUUUCACCCCAUCUUGUAUUUCCAAGGUCUUGGUUUUUGCGGCAAGCUUCUUUCCUAUUCUUGGAAACUUUCCAGAAAGAGCCUGCAGCAUUUCCACUGCUCAGUCAUGCUCCUGGUGCUUAUUCCAGUCCUGGGCGUACAUUUUGUCCUGAGAGAUGCCAGAGCCCAGUCUGUGACCCAGCCUGACAGUCAUGUCACUGUCUCGGAGAAAGCCUCACUGGAGCUGAGAUGCACCUAUUCCGGUACUUCAACUCCUUAUCUCUCCUGGUAUGUCCAGUACCCUGGCCAAGGACUCCAGCUUCUCCUCAGGUACUAUUCUGGAGACACCCUGGUUAAAGGCAGCAACGGCUUUGAGGCUGAAUUUAAGAAGAGUGACUCUUCCUUCCACCUGAGGAAACCGUCUGUGCAUUGGACUGACACGGCUGAGUACUUCUGUGCGCUGAGGGACACAGUGCCUGGGGCUGCAGGGGGAGCUGCACACAAACCACCCAUGGUUGUGGAGUAUCAGACUCAAGAUCUUCUGUGCUACUAAAGAGAUCUCUUGUGAUAUCAUGGUGACUGAGGCAAAGGGGGUUAAGUAUAUCCAGAAAUAGAAUAAUUAAUUCUGCAAUUCUUACUGAGCCCUAUAUUUGAUAAACUUUGUUUCAGAAGCUUUUUGAUCAGUGUAGAAACUAAAUAGUACCAAAUAAUUAGUGUUCUAGAAUGAUGGAGGAGGCAGUGUUCUUAUCAUGUAAUAAUCGGGACUUUAAGGACUUGUCCUGAGACUAUCUUAAUGGGUUGAUUAUGUGAAUUGGGACAGCCUAGGAGGAGGUGGAAUUUCAGUCAUCAGUUUAUUUUGCAAUCAACCUGAAACAACAGAUGAGCUCCUUGUGUUCUUUUUCUCCAAGUUUGUCUUCUUUUCUACCUGUUUCCUAGAGACAGUUAUUUAUUUUUUUUGAAUUUCUUCUUUCUGCUCUAACUGUGCUAGUCACAAUGUGUUGGAAUUUUUUUUUCUGAAUAUUACAGUAAUAUCUCCGUAGAAAUUGUGACAUAUUACCAACCAAUUGUGAAGAAGAAAUUGUUAGGUAUUACCAACCAGCAAUAGGUUAUUUAUUAGACUCAUGAAUGAUUUACAACAUUAUCAUGGGCAUGCUAGUUCUGGUGACUAUUUAAGAGUUGAGCAGAAGAAUAAAGAUUUAGAAUUCACUACUGUUUACUUGAACGUUUUUACAUGGUUAUGAAAGUAAUAUCUAAUUCUUUUUUGGUAUCUUAAAUUCUACAAAACUACAUUGGAAUUUUUUGGAUAUAACUAGUUUUGUUUCUUCUAGCUACUGAC